UGUUAGGGAAGUGUAAUGGUUACAUAUCAGGCUCAUGAUCUGAAGUUAGUAGGUUCGAUUCCUACACCUAACAA
rnacentral:tRNA from 1 species